ensembl:lncRNA
ACCAGACCUUCAUAUUGCUCUGUGUCAGCUAGACCAUACCUUUCAUAUUGCUCUGUGUCAGCUAGACCAUACCUUUCAUAUUGCUCUGUGUCAGCUAGACCAUACCUUUCAUAUUGCUCUGUGUCAGCUAGACCAUACCUUUCAUAUUGCUCUGUGUCAGCUAGACCAUACCUUUCAUAUUGCUCUGUGUCAGCUAGACCAUACCUUUCAUAUUGCUCUGUGUCAGCUAGACCAUACCUUUCAUAUUGCUCUGUGUCAGCUAGACCAUACCUUUCAUAUUGCUCUGUGUCAGCUAGACCAUACCUUUCAUAUUGCUCUGUGUCAGCUAGACCAUACCUUUCAUAUUGCUCUGUGUCAGCUAGACCAUACCUUUCAUAUUGCUCUGUGUCAGCUAGACCAUACCUUUCAUAUUGCUCUGUGUCAGCUAGACCAUACCUUUCAUAUUGCUCUGUGUCAGCUAGACCAUACCUUUCAUAUUGCUCUGUGUCAGCUAGACCAUACCUUUCAUAUUGCUCUGUGUCAGCUAGACCAUACCUUUCAUAUUGCUCUGUGUCAGCUAGACCAUACCUUUCAUAUUGCUCUGUGUCAGCUAGACCAUACCUUUCAUAUUGCUCUGUGUCAGCUAGACCAUACCUUUCAUAUUGCUCUGUGUCAGCUAGACCAUACCUUUCAUAUUGCUCUGUGUCAGCUAGACCAUACCUUUCAUAUUGCUCUGUGUCAGCUAGACCAUACCUUUCAUAUUGCUCUGUGUCAGCUAGACCAUACCUUUCAUAUUGCUCUGUGUCAGCUAGACCAUACCUUUCAUAUUGCUCUGUGUCAGCUAGACCAUACCUUUCAUAUUGCUCUGUGUCAGCUAGACCAUACCUUUCAUAUUGCUCUGUGUCAGCUAGACCAUACCUUUCAUAUUGCUCUGUGUCAGCUAGACCAUACCUUUCAUAUUGCUCUGUGUCAGCUAGACCAUACCUUUCAUAUUGCUCUGUGUCAGCUAGACCAUACCUUUCAUAUUGCUCUGUGUCAGCUAGACCAUACCUUUCAUAUUGCUCUGUGUCAGCUAGACCAUACCUUUCAUAUUGCUCUGUGUCAGCUAGACCAUACCUUUCAUAUUGCUCUGUGUCAGCUAGACCAUACCUUUCAUAUUGCUCUGUGUCAGCUAGACCAUACCUUUCAUAUUGCUCUGUGUCAGCUAGACCAUACCUUUCAUAUUGCUCUGUGUCAGCUAGACCAUACCUUUCAUAUUGCUCUGUGUCAGCUAGACCAUACCUUUCAUAUUGCUCUGUGUCAGCUAGACCAUACCUUUCAUAUUGCUCUGUGUCAGCUAGACCAUACCUUUCAUAUUGCUCUGUGUCAGCUAGACCAUACCUUUCAUAUUGCUCUGUGUCAGCUAGACCAUACCUUUCAUAUUGCUCUGUGUCAGCUAGACCAUACCUUUCAUAUUGCUCUGUGUCAGCUAGACCAUACCUUUCAUAUUGCUCUGUGUCAGCUAGACCAUACCUUUCAUAUUGCUCUGUGUCAGCUAGACCAUACCUUUCAUAUUGCUCUGUGUCAGCUAGACCAUACCUUUCAUAUUGCUCUGUGUCAGCUAGACCAUACCUUUCAUAUUGCUCUGUGUCAGCUAGACCAUACCUUUCAUAUUGCUCUGUGUCAGCUAGACCAUACCUUUCAUAUUGCUCUGUGUCAGCUAGACCAUACCUUUCAUAUUGCUCUGUGUCAGCUAGACCAUACCUUUCAUAUUGCUCUGUGUCAGCUAGACCAUACCUUUCAUAUUGCUCUGUGUCAGCUAGACCAUACCUUUCAUAUUGCUCUGUGUCAGCUAGACCAUACCUUUCAUAUUGCUCUGUGUCAGCUAGACCAUACCUUUCAUAUUGCUCUGUGUCAGCUAGACCAUACCUUUCAUAUUGCUCUGUGUCAGCUAGACCAUACCUUUCAUAUUGCUCUGUGUCAGCUAGACCAGACCAUACCUUUCAUAUUGCUCUGUGUCAGCUAGACCAUACCUUUCAUAUUGCUCUGUGUCAGCUAGACCAUACCUUUCAUAUUGCUCUGUGUCAGCUAGACCAUACCUUUCAUAUUGCUCUGUGUCAGCUAGACCAUACCUUUCAUAUUGCUCUGUGUCAGCUAGACCAUACCUUUCAUAUUGCUCUGUGUCAGCUAGACCAUACCUUUCAUAUUGCUCUGUGUCAGCUAGACCAGACCUUUCAUAUUGCUCUGUGUCAGCUAGACCAUACCUUUCAUAUUGCUCUGUGUCAGCUAGACCAUACCUUUCAUAUUGCUCUGUGUCAGCUAGACCAGACCUUUCAUAUUGCUCUGUGUCAGCUAGACUGUACAGUAUGCUAG